GGUGUGCAGGCAGGUGUGGGGCACGGGGAGGUGUGCAGACCAGGUGUGUGGGGUGCGGGAGCGAGGCAGGUGCGCGCGGCAGGUGCGCGGGGGCGAGUCAGGAGCGCGGGGCACGUGUGUGGGGUGUGGGGCAGGUGUGCGGGGGCGGGGCAGGUGUGCAGGGCAGGCGUGCAGGGGCAAGGCAGGUGCGUAAGAGCGAGGCAGAUGCGCAGGUGCGCGGACCAGGUGUGUGAGGUCCCGGUUCUGGCGGAUUUGGCCCAGGCACCCCCAGCCCCCAGCCAGCCUCCAGCAUCGCCUCCUCUGGGAUCUUCUCUGACUUCCCAGUCGGUUUCAGAAGCCUCUGAUGACCCCAUGCGGAGAAGACUGCUCCCCUCACUGCUGGCACACGGCAGAUGCUCAACACUUGCUCCAGCUUCGCCUUCCGCCGCGAGUUGAAGCUCCCCGAGGCCUCCUCAGAAGCAGAAGCCACCACGCUUCCUGUACAGCCUGUGGGACCCGGAGCCAGUUCAACCUCUUUUCUUUAUAAAUUACCCAGACUCGGCCGGGCACGGUGGCUCACGCCUGUAAUCCCAGCACUUUGUUGAGACCGAGGCAGGCAGAUCACGAGGUCAGGAGAUCGAGAACAUCCUGGCUAACACGGUGAAACCCCGUCUCUACUAAAAAUACAAAAAAUUAGCCGGGCGUGGUGGCGGGCGCCUGUGGUCCCAGCUACUCGGGAGGCUGAGGCAGGAGAAUGGUGUGAACCCGGG
rnacentral:lncRNA from 10 species